CAUGGCUCAGAUUGAACGCUGGCGGCGUGCUUAACACAUGCAAGUCGAACGCGAAAGGGACUUCGGUCCUGAGUAAAGUGGCGCACGGGUGAGUAACGCGUGGAUAAUCUGCCUUAUGAUUGGAAUAACAGUUGGAAACGGCUGCUAAUACCGGAUACGCUCAAAAUGAACUUUUUGAGGAAAGAUGGCCUCUGCUUGCAUGCUAUCGCAUAAGGAUGAGUCCGCGUCCCAUUAGCUUGUUGGCGGGGUAACGGCCCACCAAGGCAACGAUGGGUAGCCGAUUUGAGAGGAUGAUCGGCCACACUGGAACUGAAACACGGUCCAGACUCCUACGGGAGGCAGCAGUGGGGAAUAUUGCGCAAUGGGCGAAAGCCUGACGCAGCGACGCCGCGUGAGGGAUGAAGGUUUUCGGAUCGUAAAACCUCUGUCAGAAGGGAAGAAACUACGUUGUGCUAAUCAGCAGCGUACUGACGGUACCUUCAAAGGAAGCACCGGCUAACUCCGUG
rnacentral:rRNA from 1 species